UACGUAGGGGGCAAGCGUUGUCCGGAAUCAUUGGGCGUAAAGAGCGUGUAGGCGGUCCGGUAAGUCGGCUGUGAAAGUCCAGGGCUCAACCCUGGAAGGCCGGUGGAAACUGUCGGGCUAGAGUCCGGAAGAGGCGAGUGGAAUUCCCGGUGUAGCGGUGAAAUGCGCAGAUAUCGGGAGGAACACCGGUGGCGAAGGCGGUUCUCUGGGCCUUACCUGACGCUGAGGAGCGAAAGCGUGGGGAGCGAACAGG
rnacentral:rRNA from 1 species